UGACUUCUUCCUUUAAAAAGCCCUUCUCCCAGCCACUCAGGGUCGACACCUCUGUCUCCUGUGUGGGAUACCUGUCGACCCGGAGCUCUCCGAAAUAAACCUCGCCUCUGCGCAUUGCAUCAAGAUGGUCUCUCGUGUGUCUGGGGUCCGAGACUUCCCGAGACUUGAGUAAGGGUCUCCCUUUGGGGAUCUUUCAGAGGCAGCCAGAAGCAAAUGAGCAGCUUUCAUUUUAAAUGAAGACCUUUUCUCUCCUCCACCUCAAAUGACCACCUGAGACCAGCCCCAGUACAGCAGAUUGAAAACUAAUGAUCUGCCUCUCAGGCACCUUGGGAGUUGGAGUAUUUUGAAACUGAUCCUCUGACUCCAGGCAUACCCAUAGCUGGUGCUUGGUCCUGUGUGUGGAUUUAUGUGAGAUUACUGCAUCCCUCAAUGUCACCAUUAGGCUUUUAUCCCACCCCACCCCUUUUACAUUCCAGCUUCCUGAAAGAAUGAAAGCUGGAAUGUAAAAGGGUAUUUAGCCCAUCAGUCAGCAUGCCCCAGGCUCUGUGCUAGGUAUCCUGGCUCACAGACCCUGGACAUGUUCUAAACAUCAUAGGCCUGAGCUAUAUAUGGUACUCAAGGUCAGCCCAGCCAACUUAGUGAGAUUCUGUUUCAAACUAUAAAUAAGAAUAGGCUUGGACUUCAGCUCAGUCACAAAGUGCUUGCUGAGAAUAUGUGAGGUCCAGCCUUCAAUCCCAAUCAUGACAAGCAAAAUAAAAGACAAGCAGGAGAAGAAGCUGAAGUCUGUAGAUGCUGAUACCCGUGAUCACCUUGCCAGCCAGUGCCUCAUGGGAUAUGAGUGCCCUGCAGGAAUGAAAAGAAUCCUUCAUCAAUAGCUUCCUGCCCCCAAAUAAGGAACCAUUGCUCUGUUCUCCUCAGCAAAUAACAUUGACAUGAAACUUACUGCCAUCUGCUUCCCAAAUGAAGGCUUCUGUUGGGACAACCUUCAAGACCAGGGGCUGAGCCCAGCAUACUCAAAGGCUGUGGAUUCAUCAUCAAGAACAAGAAACGGAUGGAGGACCACACAGAGAUACACAAUACCUAAAUGUCCCCACCAUGGUAUGACACAGCCAAGAAAUUUUUCCUAGAAGUUGUGUUAUGCUUUUUUGAUAGCCAGCCUCUGAAACGGUGAAAUAAUUAAAUGUUUUCUCUUUAUAAGUUA
rnacentral:sRNA from 1 species